AAAUAAAUAAAUAUAAUAAUAAUGAUAGUAAUAAUACUAAAUAGAUAAUUGAUAAAUAAACGAAAAGCUACAUGUUUUGACGAUUAAUCAGACUUGCUCAUCCGUAAUAUAAUUAUCUUCCUCACAAGGUACUACGUCUGGACAUAAGAUGGGUUCGCCCUUUGCUGGAAGACGUGGAUCUCGACCUUAAAGUCAUCUAUCUUGCAAGAGACCCACGUGCGCUAGUUUACUCCCGAAGACAGGAUCCUCGAUGCAACACCCGAGAGUGCGAAGACCCCGCGCAAGUGUGUGCCAAGUUGCGGGAGGAUCUGGCGGAGGUCCCCUUCCUGUUGCAAGAUUUCCCUGAAAGUUUUAAGUACUUGAAAUACGGGA